rnacentral:rRNA from 1 species
UGAGGAACAUGACCUUCGGCGGGGGAUAGCCGGCCCAACGGCCGGGUAAUACCGCGUACGACCACAUGGGGACAUCCCUGAGUGGUGAAAGCAGCAAUGCGCCGAUGGAGUGCCUCGCGGCCUAUCAGCUAGUUGGUGAGGUAACGGCUCACCAAGGCAACGACGGGUAGCUGGUCUGAGAGGAUGGCCAGCCACAGUUUGGGGACUGAGACCACCGGCCCAGACCU